CCCCUCUCAGGAUCACACCUGGAGUGUUUCCAGUACUCUACCAGUCUCUGCUACGGGAGGGAGAGUUAAGUAGAGGCAUACACAUUCCUUUCCUAGCUUGGGCAGUGGCUAGCGAAUGGAAGACAAUCUGCUACAAGU